UUGUUUGCUGGAAGACAAAUAGUGGUAGUAAAAGAAAAAAGAGAGUGAAAUCUCUGGCUAGAGCAGUGAAAAUUAAAUCAGAAUCUCUUGUGAGAGCUGAUUUAAACAAAAGCAGUCAAGCUCAUAAUUGCCCCAAAUUCACUUUUCUAUUGAGCCACACUCCUGCAGUCUCUCACACAAGAAUCAUCUCAAAAACCAGUAACUGCCUGCGCCUUUGAUUCUCACCCUCAUAGCACAGAUAGAUUCAAAGCAAGACAAAGCUGUCUGAACUUCCUCUACAUUCCUGAAAAGAAAAGCCAGAAAGUGUUUAUAGUGCCAUCAAUAAUAACAAUAAAAUGCUGUUGCGUAAAGGUGUCUCUCAAUGAAGAUGAAAAAAAGAACACUACAUAAGACAAUAGACCUGGUGUGACCAAACAUCAAAAGGGUGCAGAUUAGUCCAUAUCAAAAUACCUCAGGGGGUCCAGUCAUCAAAAUAUUAUUUAUGAAUUCUGAAAAUACAAAAUACUGCAUGAUGGGUGAUAUAUAUAUGUAUGUAAUAUGUGUAUGUACGUAUGUAUGUGUCACAAAUCGUGACGGAGCAGAGAUAAGGCGGAUGCAAGUGCAGGACAACAGUUGUUUAUUUGUAGAGACAGGCAGGCAGACAAAUCCAAAACGUGAUCCAAAACGUAAUCCAUAAACAUGCAAGAGGUCAGGCGAUUGGCAAACAGGCAUACACGGGGCUAGGCAGGAAUCUAGGUCGAUAACCACAACAAGACACAAACUAGCACGAGGGACUGGAAGCGGAGAAUCCAGCGCGAACUGACUAUGACUAUGACUAUGACGUGAACUAAACUAACGCUAAACAUUUACUUACUACUUACGACUUAUUACUUAAUCUUCCUCCUUGUGUGCUGGGAAGCGCGCGGUAUAUAUGCCGACAUGAUCAGCGUCUCAACUGCUAUCAGCUGAGAGCAAUUCAGACCCACGUGAAUUCCCAGCCAAUGACGGAACAGGGAGGAGACAUGACAGACAUAAACAAAACACACGUGUCCCAAUGUCACUACGGUCAACAGCGGAAAAGCAGGUGCUCGCACAUUCGUGCUUAGAGCACACUGCUUCAAGGGGGAAUCGUGACAGAACCUCCCCUCAAAGGCACUCCUCCCGGAGUGCCAUGAGUCAUCCCAUUUCAUUGGCGGCCCCGGCCCCCUGGGCUGAAUGUCCCGAGCAGAGCCAGGAAACUGCACGAUGUUCUUGGCAGCGUAGGGAAGCAGAGCGACGACCUCAGCUGGACAGGGACAUUAUGUUUAUGUACUAUGUGAAGCUUUAAUAUCAGUAUCUCUUUGGACCCCCUUGUGCAGCUAUAACUGCAACUAAAAGUUUCUGGUAACUGUUGUUCAGUACUGCACAUCAGUUGGAAAAAUUUUAGCCCAUUCCGCAGUACAUAACAGCGUCAAGUCUGGGAUGUUGGUGGGUUUCCUUACAUGAAUGAUUGCUUCAGGUCUUUCCACAACAUUUCUUUUUAAGGUCAGGACUUUGACUUGAUCAUUCCAAAACAUUAACUUAAUUAUUCUUUAAACGUUCUUUGGUAGAAUGACUUAUGUGCUUAGGGUCAUUGUCUUACUGCACGCCCCACUUUCUCUUGAGAUUCAGUUCACAGAUGUCCUGACAUUUUCCUUUAGUAUUUGUUGGUAUAAUUUUUCCAUCAAUGAUGGCAAGUCAUCCUGACCCAGAUGCAACAAAACAGGUUGUUUCACAGAUGGGAUAAGGUUCUUAUUCUGGAAUGCAGUGUUUUCCUUUCUCCAAUCAUAACCCUUCUCAUAUAAGCCAAAAAUCUUAUUUUGAUUUCAUCUGUACACUAAACAUUUUUUCAUUAGCCUUCUGGCUUGUCCACGUGGUAUUUAGCAAGCUACAGAAGGGCAGCAAUGUUCAUUUUGGGGAGCAGUGGCUUUCUCCUUGCAGGCCUGCCAUGCACACCAUUGUUGUUCAGUGUUCUCCUGAUUUUGGACUCAAUAACAUUAAAAUUAGUCAAUUUGAUAGAGGUCUUUAGUUGCAUAGAAGUUACCCUGGGCUCCUUUAUGACCUCGCGAACUAUUACAUGUCUUGCUCUUAGACUGAUCUUUGUUGGUCGACCACUCCUGGAGAGGGUAACAGUGUUCGUGAAUUUCCUCCAUUUGUAUAUAAUCUGUCUGACUAUGGAUUGAUGGAGUCCAUAGAGAUGGUUUCAUAACCUUUUCCAGCAUGAUGAGCAUAAACAACUCUUUUGGAGGUCCUCAGAAAUCUCCUAUGUUCAUGCCAUGAUUCACUUCCACCAACAUGUGUUGUGAAGAUCAGACACGGAUAGAUCCCUGUUCUUUAAAUAAAACAGGGUGCUCACUCACACUUGAUUGUCAUCCCAUAAAUUGAAAAUGCCUGACUCUGAUUUCACCUUCAAAUUAUAUGCUAAUCAUAGAGGUUCACAUACUUUUGCCACUCACAAAUAUGUAACGUUGCAUCAUUUUUACUAAUAAAUAAAUGAACAAGUACAACCCCAAUUCCAAAAAAGUUGAGACACUGAGUAAAAUGUAAAUAAAAAUAGAAUGCAAUGAUUUGCAAAUCUCAUAAACCCAUAUGUUAUUCACAAGAAAACAUAGAAAACAUAUCAAAUGUUUAAACUGAGGAAAUAUACCAUUUUAAGGAAAAAAUAAGGUAAUUUUGAAUUUGAUGGCCACAACGUGUCUCCCACAACAUGUCUCAAAAAAGUUGGGAUGGUGGCAACAAAAGGCUGGAAAAGUAAGUGUUACUAAAAAUAAACAGCUGGAGGAAUAGACAUCAGAGGAGAAGGAAAAGGGGGGAGUGAGGAAAAAUGGGGAAAAGUCAGAGUUGGGUGGUGGUUUUGGUUCCCGGCACAUUGGGUCCAGGAAGCUGGGUCCUAGGGAGGAGUAGGGAGAAGAGAGAGAGAGUGAGGAAAAAGAGAGAUGCCUGGACAAGGAACUGCCAACAAGUGAUUCCCUGUCAGCAUCAUCCAGGGAUGCAGGCUGGUUGCAUUCCUGUCAGGAGUGGAGUCAAUCAAUGAAUUGCUCCAGUAUCACCAGCUCAGUGACCUGUUCUGUGUCCUAUUCCUCUUCCAUCAACCACCACCAAGCAUUUGAUGGUGGAGUGAGUGGCCCCUUUAUGUCCCAUUAUGUUCUCUCUCUCUGUCGAGCUACACAUGCUACUCCUGAGACACCAGUGAUCCUGAACCCUUCUGCUGUCUGGACCUGCCUGAUCUAUCCUGAUGCCCUACUUCUGGUUAAGUUCUCAUCACUUGGAAGUCACUCGCUGUUGCUGAGGAUGGCCCUACAUGAACAAAGAUCAUGAACAAAGAUUACUGAGGAUGGUGCCACUUAAAAACGACAAAGAGGACUUUGUACUGCAACUAAUAUGAACAGUUUUGCUAGAAUUGCUACGAUAGCCUUAGGACUGCAAUUGUCUUGAACAGUUCUGUACUUGAGUUUCCUGGUUAUGAAUUUCCUGGUUACACAAUUGCACUUUUUGACCAUGUAGUAUACGAUUAUAACAGGGAAUUAUUUAUAAUCGAACUAUCCGGUGUCACCCAGAUGAGGAUGGAUUCCCUUUUGAGUCUGGUUUCUCUCAAGGGUUGUUCCUCAUAUAAUCUCAGGGAGUUUUUCCUUGCCACUGUCAUCUCUGGCUUGCUUAUUUGGGAAAAAUUUCUGAAUUUAAAUCCUGAAUUUGUAUAUUUCUACACAGCUGCUUUGUGAACAUGUCUAUUGUUAAAAGCACUAUACAAAUACAGGAGUCCUUCAGCUGCUGUGUGUAGGUGAAGAGACAGCCCACGUAGAAACACCCUAGAAAAGCUAAAAGACCGUUCUCUCUGGCCGGGGAUGGAUUCAGAGGUCCGGGGCUUCUACCAACAGUGCCCCCAGUGCCAGCGCACCGCCCCACUGAGGCCCCCACCGGCUCCCCUUAUCUAUUUGCCCAUCAUAGGCGUCCCCUUCGAGAGGGAUGACAUGGACCUCGUGAGGGCCAUUCCCCAAAUCUGCCCGAGGCCACAAGUACAUACUCAUCAUCCUGGAUUACCCCACCCGAUACCCCAAGGCGGUGCCACUCCAGAAAGUCACCUCCCGUAACAUUGCGAAAGAGCUGAUGAUACUGUUCAGCCAUGUGGGAAUACUGAAGGACAUCUUGACCGACCAAGGUACGCCUUUCAUCUCCAAACUAAUGUCUGGUCUGUGUCGGCUGUUGUAGGUUAAGCACCUAAAGGCGUCCGUCUACCACCCCCAGACUGAUGGGCUCGUUGAGAGGUUCAACCAGACCUGGUAGGAACAUAUGAGAGCUGCCCAGGAGGAGCAGAAACGAGUGUACGCAGUCAAGGGCCAUACACAUUCCUCGAGUGGUAGAUGGCCAUAAACUAUCGCCUGCAACAGCCCGGGAUGACGCAGCUGGUCCACCAUGACAUCAAGACCUGGCGGGAGUGGUGGUGCAACAGCAGCCCUAUUGUGUCCCGGAGGCCCGCCUCCAGACUAUUGAGGAGGAGAUCGGCCAAAUGCUGCGGGACAACAUCAUUGAGGAAUCCAACAGCCCCUGGUCCAGCCCUAUCGUAGUCGUGCCGAAACCUGACGGAGGUAUGCACCUAUGCAAUGACUUCCGGAAGCUGAACCAGAUCUCAGAAUUCGACAGCUAUCCCCUCCCCCGAGUGGACGACCUAGUGGAGCGGUUGGGGAGGGCCCGGUUCAUAUCCACCCUCGACCUCACCAAAGGAUACUGGCAAGCAGCCUUGGCCCCAGAGGCAAGACCGAAGACGGCCUUCAGCAUGGCGAACGGCCACUGGUAAUAACGGGUUCUCCCCUUCGGGCAGCGACUGAUGGACAUUGUCCUGCGUCCCCAUCGUCCCUUCGCAGCUGCCUACCUGGACGAUGUGGUCAUCCACUCCUCCACUUGGUUGGACCACUUGUUCCACCUGGGGGAGGUCCUGAAAGAGCUCCGGAAGGCCGGGCUGACAGCCAACCCCAAAAAGUGCCACUCGGGGCUGACUGAGGCACAGUACCUCGGGUACCGUAUCAGCCGGGGCCUACUAAAGCCUCAGAUGAAGAAAAUUGAGGCAGUGAAAGACUAUCUCUGGCCUACAUCCAAAAAACAGGUACGUGCCUUCUUGGGGUUGGCGGGGUAUUACCGCUGAUUUGUGCCUAACUUCUCCUCUGUAGCCUCCUCCCUUUCAGAUCUCACGAAAAAGGGUCAGCCGGACCGGGUGAAGUGGUCGGCAAGAGCGGAACGGGCCUUCCAAGCCGUGAAAGAAACCCUCACCAGCGCCCCAGUGCUACACAACCCAGACUUCGCCCUUCCAUUCACCAUGCACACAGAUGCAGCGGAGAGGAACACCCGGUCUUCUACAUCAGUCGGAAGUUGUCCCCGCUGAAAGGAAGUAUGCAGCCAUGGAAAGAGAGUCCCUGGCUACAAUGUGGGCCAUCGAAGACCUACGAUACUACCUGGCCGGUCGGCACAACCUGGUGACAGACCAUACCCCACUACAGUGGAUGGCCAAAGCCAAGGACACUAACACCAGGGUAACCUGAUGGUUCCUCUCGUUAUAGGACUUCUCUUUCCAGGUCGAGCACCGGGCGGGGAGCCACCAUGGAAAUGCAGAUGGCCUCCCGCGACGGCAUGCACUGUGGGCCCAACACGCGGCGGCAGUAAGCUCGGAGCUGAGGGAGGGUACUGUCGCGACGGACCGACAGCCGGCACACAAGAGACAAAGAUUGCUCCUCCCGUGACUGCCGCGCCGGUGCUGAAGAGACAGCUCCGCUUCAGCACCAACAAUGUUUUGGACAGUCGGAGAGCAGGUGGCGGCGGGGCGGGGCCGCCAACACACACAAGGCCGGUGAAUGGUGUGCGGCAUGGGAGAAUUCCACCAUCCAGCAGGCAAGGGGAAAGUAUAAAAGGGCGCUGUUCCACUUGCAAAGGAAGAGAAGUCUCGCAGUACAUACGACUCAGACGCGAUCGAGGACUCCGCCCCCUGUCUGUAAACGUGGCGUUGCCUGACAGCCGAACGGAGCCCCCGGAAAGCAUGACUCCAGCAACCCCGCAGACGACUGAGAUCCUCACCGCACGAUUACACGCCCACACUCAAGCACACACACACACACAUACGUGCACCGACACACCCCCACCAGACUGUCUUGAAUAAAGAUCCUCCACUGUAACACUAAAACUACCUCCCGUGUAUCUGUGCUCCGCCUAC